CAAGUACAAAUGCAGACACUCAAAAAGAAAAAAAAAAGAGAACUGGGAAGAGAAAGAAAAAUAUUUAUUAUUUUUAGCCACAGCUUUUAUCGCCAUAUUUCCUAUUUGCGUUCGAUUUGCCUUUCUAGAUUCUACCACUUCGGGGCAUUGUCACAAUACUACCGAGCGAGGACAGA
rnacentral:RNase_P_RNA from 16 species